UUUUGGCCAAUGAGUUGUUUUUUUGGCAAACCUGCUGAAUUUAGCCAGGAACUGCCCGUCACCUAGCAACCCCAGCCAAACCAGCCCGUCACCUAGCAACCAAAUCUGAGUUCCAGAAACUUCGGUCAGCUGGUUUCACCGCUGUCUGCGCUGUACAAUAACUGCUGGAAAGGACAAGUGUUUGUUGUUGGCUUACCAGUCAGAAACCAUUUGCGCAUCUGUUUGAGUGUAAGACUGGAGUUAGGGGGCGUGGCCGAAACGAAACAACUCAUUCUGGAAGAGAGUAGAAAGAGCUUGCUAAAGUGUUCUGCUUGACGAUUUUGGUGACUUCUUAUUCUUCCUCAGACAAUGUCCUCAUCUUAAAAUGAAGAUAUAUCGUGGGUACAUUUGUUUUGUCUCCAUAAAGGGACUCUACCUGCUUGUCCACACACACAGACAGGGGGCGCUGUGGGAACCAGGAAUACACAAGGGACGUCUUGAGUGUUUUCCAGCACCCUGGGGACAUCCAAAAGUCUAGGGCGUGUGUGUGGUAGACUGUGUGUGUUUUGUUUUUAUUUUGAGUGUUUAAUGUAUUAAAAGGGGCCGGGGUAAUGAAUUAUAAUCUUUAAUGCAAAAACCAAUCGAUACCACCCAGAGAAUAAAUCAGCUUUUACUGAGCGCGUCAAAGCCCCUUAAUACACUAGAGGAGAGAAAGGGAGUGCAUGGUGGGUGAGGUAAGAGGGGGAGUUAGGAGCUGGGACAAACUAUUAAUGGAGGAGGAGGAGGGAUCCUGAAUGAACCAGAGAGAGAGAUGAAGGCCACCAGGGUGAAACAAAGGCGAGGGGGAGUACGAGGUAAAUAGAAGGAGAAGAAGAAAUAGAUGGAUGGAAGUUAUAGAGGAGCAGCCUCACCUCUGGGUUAACCUCAUUGAGUAAAAGCCCGGUGGAAGCACAUAGACUCUGACAGGUUUGCGAGGAGGAGAGGUCGCAGGGUCACUCACUCAGAGUGUUACCCCCUGGCUCCUAAUUUAAAGUCACAAGAAGCAGUGGAGAAAAUUGAUGAUGAACAACACACAUAAAUCACGGUUUGAAAAUAACCAGCACAAAAACAGAGAGGGAUCAACAAACCGCUGCUGCAAGUAAAGGAAGGUAGG